UCCUACGGUGGGCAGCAGUGGGGAAUAUUGCACAAUGGGCGCAAGCCUGAUGCAGCCAUGCCGCGUGUAUGAAGAAGGCCUUCGGGUUGUAAAGUACUUUCAGCGGGGAGGAAGGUGUUGCGGUUAAUAACCGCAGCAAUUGACGUUACCCGCAGAAGAAGCACCGGCUAACUCCGUGCCAGCAGCCGCGGUAAUACGGAGGGUGCAAGCGUUAAUCGGAAUUACUGGGCGUAAAGCGCACGCAGGCGGUCUGUCAAGUCGGAUGUGAAAUCCCCGGGCUCAACCUGGGAACUGCAUUCGAAACUGGCAGGCUAGAGUCUUGUAGAGGGGGGUAGAAUUCCAGGUGUAGCGGUGAAAUGCGUAGAGAUCUGGAGGAAUACCGGUGGCGAAGGCGGCCCCCUGGACAAAGACUGACGCUCAGGUGCGAAAGCGUGGGGAGCAAACAGGAUUAGAUACCCCGGUAGUCG
rnacentral:rRNA from 1 species